GAGCAAACACAGCUCUUUUAGAAUUUUUCUAACAGGAUUUCUGACCUUGGUGGGAAAACCCAA
ensembl:snRNA Gm24487 predicted gene, 24487